rnacentral:rRNA from 1 species
AACGAACGCUGGCGGCAGGCUUAACACAUGCAAGUCGAGCGCCCCGCAAGGGGAGCGGCAGACGGGUGAGUAACGCGUGGGAAUCUACCCAUCUCUACGGAAUAACGCAUGGAAACGUGUGCUAAUACCGUAUACGUCCUUCGGGAGAAAGACUUAUCGGAGAUGGAUGAGCCCGCGUUGGAUUAGCUAGUUGGUGGGGUAAAGGCCUACCAAGGCGACGAUCCAUAGCUGGUCUGAGAGGAUGAUCAGCCACACUGGGACUGAGACACGGCCCAGACUCCUACGGGAGGCAGCAGUGGGGAAUAUUGGACAAUGGGCGCAAGCCUGAUCCAGCCAUGCCGCGUGAGUGAUGAAGGCCCUAGGGUUGUAAAGCUCUUUCACCGGUGAAGAUAAUGACGGUAACCGGAGAAGAAGCCCCAGCUAACUUCGUGCCAGCCGCCGCGGUAAUAC